rnacentral:rRNA from 1 species
CGCAUCUGUGCAUGCAGCAUAUCAAUAAGCGGAGGAAAAGUACCUACGCUUAGGAUGUUGACACACGCGCGUGCUCGACUCUAUACAUGACUCUGUGCAUAUCAAUAAGCGGAGGAAAAGAAACUAACAAGGAUUCCCUUAGUAACGGCGAGUGAAGCGGGAAGAGCUCAAAUUUGAAAUCUUCAAGGUUUUACCUUGACGAAUUGUAGUUUAAAGAAGUGUUUUCUGUUGAAGUUUUGGUAAAAGUUCUUUGGAAUAGGACAUCAUAGAGGGUGAGAAUCCCGUAUUUGACCAUUAUUUUCAGCUGUGUGAUACACUUUCAAAGAGUCGGAUUGUUUGGGAAUGCAGUCCAAAAUGGGUGGUAAAUUUCAUCUAAAGCUAAAUAUUGGCGAGAGACCGAUAGCGAACAAGUACCGUGAGGGAAAGAUGAAAAGAACCUUUGAAAAGAGAGUUAAACAGUACGUGAAAUUGUCAAAAGGGAAGCGUUUAACACCAGUGUUGUUUUCUCGAAAAUCAAUUAAAAAGAGUUAGAUUUUGUUGUGUAUUGACCUUAACAGCUUGCAUUUCAAUUUUUUCUUGCUUUUUUUAAUGCACUUUUCGUUUAACAAGUCAACAUCAGUUUCUCUUGUUGUAAAAAGGUCAUUGGAAGGUGGCUUUCUUUUCGGAGAAAGUGUUUAUAGCCUUUGGCUCCUGCAAUCGGAGAGACUGAGGUCUGCAGCGUAGAUCCUUCGGGGUUAGAUACAUUUGUGCUAAGUUAUAGCUUUUUAUAGACAACUUGUUGACUAUGAUUAGUCUUGUAGCUCACUCGCUUAUGCUAUUUUACCUACGCUUAGGAUGUUGACACACGCGCGUGCUCG